rnacentral:rRNA from 1 species
GAUGAACGCUGGCGGCGUGCUUAACACAUGCAAGUCGAACGAGAAAUGUAGACGGACACCUUCGGGCGGAAGCCUUCAUUUCGAGUGGCGGCCGGGUGAGUAACGCGUGGGUAACCUGCCUCAUACAGGGGGAUAACAGUUGGAAACGACUGUUAAUACCGCAUCAGACCACAGCAUCGCAUGAUGCGGGGGUAAAAACUCCGGUGGUAUGGGAUGGACCCGCGUUCGAUUAGCCAGUUGGCGGGGUAACGGCCCACCAAAGCGACGAUCGAUAGCCGAGCUGAGAGGAUGACCGGCCACAUUGGGACUGAGACACGGCCCAAACUCCUACGGGAGGCAGCAGUGGGGAAUAUUGCACAAUGGGGGAAACCCUGAUGCAGCGACGCCGCGUGAGUGAAGAAGUACUUCGGUAUGUAAAGCUCUAUCAGCAGGGAAGAAAAUGACGGUACCUGAGUAAGAAGCCCCGGCUAACUACGUG